GGUAUGGUGGUCUAGUAGUUAGCAUUGUUGCCUUGAACCAACAGGGUUGGGGGUUCGAUUCCCGCCUCUGCCC